rnacentral:lncRNA from 1 species
GGUGUGCAGCCAACUCUGUAUCCUGCUCCUGCCUUGGUUGUGGGUGGAGAAAGGCAGUUGGAGUGGCUCCUUAGAAAACAGAAUUACAGUAAAACGUGGGAGGUUCCUACAAGUCACCUGUGAGCUGCUUCCUCCCAUUCCUGGACCUGGGCUGCCUGGGAGGAACUUUAAAUUGCCACCCAGCUCAACCCUGGCCACUGGCUCCGGCAGCAUGACGGCAAGAGGCAUCUUCCUGCUGGGGCUCCUCGCCCUGUGGGCAGAGCUGCAGGCAGCACCCACCGCAGGGCUCCCCGGAGCAGUCUCUGCCAGGCGGCCACAGCCAGGACAGCCUGGAAGUGCUUUGCCAGGGAGAUGCCCGUGGCCUGGCAAAGAUCCCAACGCAGUGCCCGAUCCACAGCCCGGCAGGAUCACCCUGGAUGGGAAGGAGGAGCCGGGUACGGAGCGGGUGGGUAAGAACCGGUGCCCACCCGGGGCUGAGCCAGUGGCUGCUGUGACACCCACCGUGGGGAAGAAGCCGGUGACCGGGGCAGAGCCUGCGGCAGGGAACAAGCCCGUGCUGGCUGGGAAAUUGGACACUGGGAAGAAACCUAUUUCAGGGAAAAAGCCAGCAUGUGGGGGGAAGACUGAGACUAGGGAAAAGCCAGAGGUUGUAGCAAAGCCGGAGAUCACAGCAAAACCAGGAGGGAAGCCAGACACCGGGGGGAAGCCGGAGACUGGGGAGAAGCCAGAGACUGCAGGAAAGCCGGAGACUGGUGGAAAACCAGUAGCUGGGGAUAAUCUGGAGACUGGAGAGAAGCCGGAGACUGCGGGGAAGCCAGAGACUGGUGGGAAACCAGUGGCUGGGGAGAAGCCGGCACCUGCAGAGAAGCCAGAAGCUGGGGAGAAACCUGUGCUGGGGGAAAAGCCGGAGUCAGGGGGAAAGCCAGAGAGUGAGGGGAAGCCUGAAGCAGGAGAGAAGCCUGAGUCUGACCAAGGUGACAGUGGGGAGGAUGAUGACAACGAUGAUGAUGAUGAUGGUGAUGAUGACAAUGAUGAGAAAAAUGAGCAUGGCGAUGGCGACGAUAACGGUGACGAUGAUGACGGCGACAAUGAUGACGGCGACGACGAUGGUGACGAUGAUGGCGACGACGAUGGUGACGGCGGCGACAAUGAUGGCGAUGACGAUGGUGAUGACAAUGGUGACAACGAUGAUGACGGUGAUGACAAUGACAACUACGAUGACUACAGAUAUGAUGAUUAUGGUGACAAUGCCGAUGACGGUUAUGAUGAUGGCGGUGGUGAUGGUUAUAACUCUUAGUGACCAAUGCCACAGGGUGUGUGAAGAGCGUGUGGGACAAGAAGAGCCUGUGGCGGGUGGGUACAGGGGUGGUUGCCCCCAGCCUCCUCCUCUGCCUCACUCUGCCAGGGCCAGUCCCAGGCACCAAUGGUGUUUUGGGCAGGACCUUCUCUUUCCUAAUAAACCCCACAUU